rnacentral:rRNA from 1 species
UACGUAGGGGGCAAGCGUUGUCCGGAAUCAUUGGGCGUAAAGCGCGUGUAGGCGGUUCGGUAAGUCUGCUGUGAAAGUCCAGGGCUCAACCCUGGGAUGCCGGUGGAUACUGUCGGACUAGAGUACGGAAGAGGCGAGUGGAAUUCCCGGUGUAGCGGCGAAAUGCGCAGAUAUCGGGAGGAACACCAAUUGCGAAGGCAGCUCGCUGGGACGUCACUGACGCUGAGACGCGAAAGCGUGGGGAGCAAACAGG